AUGCGCAAGUCCGGAGGGCCCAGCACCUGCACGGGAGACUUCGGGGGCGGCAGUGUCCGUCUUGCUAGGCACACUGCACAGUGAGAAGGAAGCAGUCUCAAUCAGGGGUGUGCUUCCUGUGGCUGGCCCCUCCCACCACACUCAGAGAGAGAGCUGCGUGUAUGAGGCCAGCAGAAGCUGACCUCUCUCUCUGCUCCUCAGCUCCCACUGCAGCCUUCCCACACUGUCCUGGGGUCGUCCUCCAGUCUGCUCCUAAGAGGAAGGAACAACAUAGCCAGGGUCCCCAUGGUAACUCGGCCGGGCCGAGCGCCGUGACGUCACUUCCGCAUCAUGUGGUACGCAUCAUGUGGUGCGCUGUGGACGCCGGGCUGAGAGCGUGGGAGACGCGGCCGUGGAAGACGCUGGCGGGGAAUCUGAUCAGGGGGCUACUGUCACCAGCUACAAUGAUCCGAAGGGAGUUAGCCCAGCUGCGCUGCUUGGAAAUGGGGGAACAAACCAUAACAUCAGUGAGUCAUGGCUGAGGUCAGGAUGCCGCAGACCAUCCAAUGGUGGACCAUCAUCUGGAAAAGGAAGAGAUGGCCCAUCAUCGAGAAGAGGAAGAAAUGAGCCGAAUGCCAGUGAAAAUCAAGCAGCUGCACUCCUGAGGCUAGAGGAUAUCCUGAGGCCCAUUCUACCCAGUAUUCCCACCUACAGCAGAUGCCUGUUGCAGAAGGAGAGGACGUAAAGUACUGUACAAGCUGCAUGUCUGACAUUGAAGUUGGAAUGGAAAUGGCUGUACCUUCCAUGCCCCUUGCCUGACACAAUGGCUAUAGAUGAACAGCAUUUGUCCUGUGUUCCACACAAGCUGCUUCGAACUGGACAUUUUUUUUAUAGCUUAUCUGAAGGACACCAAAUGGGGGUGGGGGGUAAUUCAGACAUGAUUGCUGCUGUGCGUUUUCACAUAGAGGUCGAUCAGGUCUGUACUGCGCAUGCGUAUGCACCGCAGUGCGCCGGCACAUCGGACGACUGCACUGGGCAUUGGUGCAUACAGCAACGGGAUGGUGCGAAAAAAGGAUCACCAAGGCGAUCACAAGGUGACUGACAGGAAGAGGCCAUCUGUGGGUGGCAACUGACCGUUUUGUAUGAGUGUCCGGGAAAAUGCAGGAGGGACCAGGCGUUUGGAGGGAGGGUUUCUGACGUCAGCUCCGGCCCGGAUCAUCGCAGUGGUUGAAUAAAUCCUGGGCUGAGCAGACAUUGCACAAACUCAUGUUUGUGCAGCUCUGCUACAAAUGCGAUAGAACACCUGCACACAGUAAAUACCCUCCCCAUGUAGGCGGCGACUAAAAAAUGCACCCUAGCGAUCAGGUCUGAAUUACCCCCCAGCAGCAGAAGCAGGGGACCCAACCUAAACAUCAAAAAUAUAUAGCGAAAAAUAUAUAGCGCUGAAAUAUAUGUGUGUGUGUGUGUGUGUGUGUGUGUGUAUACUGUAUCUAUAUAGUAUCCAGUUUAGUUUCUUUUCUGAACACUAAAUAAGAACAUAAUCGAUACAUUUUCUUUAAAUAAAUCUGUCAAUUUAAACUUACAGAAUAUGGGGGGUCAUUCCGAGUUGUUCGCUCGCAAGCUGCUUUUAGCAGCAUUACACAUGCUAAGCCGCCGCCUACUGGGAGUGAAUCUUAGCUUCUUAAAAUUGCGAACGAAAGAUUCGCAAUAUUGCGAUAAGACAUCUCUGUGCAGUUUCUGAGUAACUCGAGACUUACUCGGCAUCUGCGAUCAGUUCAGUGCUUGUCGUUCCUGGUUUGACGUCACAAACACACCCAGCGUUCGCCCAGACACUCCUCCGUUUCUCCAGCCACUCCCGCGUUUUUCCCAGAAACGGUAGCGUUUUUUCACACACACCCAUAAAACACCCACUUCCUGUCAAUCACAUUACGAUCACCAGAACGAAGAAAAAACCGUGAGUAAAAUUCCUAACUGCAUAGCAAAUUUACUUGGCGCAGUCGCAGUGCGAACAUUGCGCAUGCGCACUAAGCGGAAAAUCGCUGCGAUGCGAAGAAAUGUACCGAGCGAACAACUCGGAAUGACCCCCAUAGAGUACAAUGGGGUCUAUUCAUGAAACAGUGAAAAGAGUGGAGAAGUGAGCCAGUCAACAUUGUAUAAUUGCAUACUAUAAAAUUAUACAGAGAGGCUGAUUGGUUGCCAUGGACAACUUCUCCACUGGCUCACUUCUCCCCACUUUUCACUGCUUCAUGAGUAGACCUCAGUAUUACAUUCACUGCUGUCACCCUUCUCUGAGGUGACACAUGCAUCAGAACUGGCAAGAUUACAACCGUCACCUGAUUCAUGUUUGUAAGUAAAGCAAAAAAGCAAGCAACUGGGCUAACACAUGUUUCAUUGCAGGUGGUGAAGAUGUAAUAUGUUCAGACAGAUUUAGAUUUGGGUGGGGUGUGUUCAAUCUGAAAUCUAAAUUGCAGUGUAAAAAUAAAGCUGUCUAACACCCACCCCCUCUACAAAAAAAACAAAACAAAAAAAACACACAUUAGGCAGCCACCUAUUGGGUGUGUUGGAAGAGCUGCUAAGCUUCUACUUACUUUUUAAAAUGUUGACAGUUACAUCCAACUCAUUGAUAACAUAAGUACAUACAAAUUUCAAAUGAAAUUCUCUAGCUUUCUAUGUAAGGACAGAUAGAUUCAUGAACAGAGUGUGUGACUGCAAUGCCACAUGUAGUGGGUAAGAAACCUGGGUAUCAGUGGCGUCACAAGGUGGGUGUGAGGAGUGCGGCCCGCACCCGGGUGUCAC